GACGAACGCUGGCGGCGUGCUUAACACAUGCAAGUCGAACGAAGAGCGAUGGGAGCUUGCUUCUAUCAAUCUUAGUGGCGAACGGGUGAGUAACGCGUAAUCAACCUGCCCUUCAGAGGGGGACAACAGUUGGAAACGACUGCUAAUACCGCAUACGAUCUAAUCUCGGCAUCGAGGAUAGAUGAAAGGUGGCCUCUACAUGUAAGCUAUCACUGAAGGAGGGGAUUGCGUCUGAUUAGCUAGUUGGAGGGGUAACGGCCCACCAAGGCGAUGAUCAGUAGCCGGUCUGAGAGGAUGAACGGCCACAUUGGGACUGAGACACGGCCCAGACUCCUACGGGAGGCAGCAGUGGGGAAUCUUCCGCAAUGGACGAAAGUCUGACGGAGCAACGCCGCGUGAGUGAUGACGGCCUUCGGGUUGUAAAGCUCUGUUAAUCGGGACGAAAGGCCUUCUUGCGAAUAGUGAGAAGGAUUGACGGUACCGGAAUAGAAAGCCACGGCUAACUACGUG
rnacentral:rRNA from 1 species